rnacentral:rRNA from 1 species
AUGGAUUUGAAUGAAACUCUGGUUGUUUGUUAUCCUGUGAAGAGUGUAGGUUCACAUGUUGAAGACUUAUCUACACUACUAUUAAACAAGAGAACAUCGUCAGGGGCGGACGAAAACUCUGCCAUCCGGCGUCCCACACCGCGCCUGUUCACGGCUAAAAUUACGGGCCUGCUCCCCAGUCCCCGCAUCUUCUCCUGGAAAAAAAAGGAAGUACUACGCGCCUGUAGCCCGCAUCUCUCGCGAAGUCCGCCCAACCCGCCGCCGCCGCCGCCGCCCCGCCCGGUGCAUGCCAUCCCCGCCGCUCCUCCUACACGCCGCCGCCGCACACCUCUAGACGCCGGGCCGUGUAUCGCGGGUCAUCGUCUGCUCCUCCUCUGCGGUCUCGCCUCAUAG